rnacentral:rRNA from 1 species
UACGAAGGGGGCUAGCGUUGCUCGGAAUCACUGGGCGUAAAGGGUGCGUAGGCGGGUCUUUAAGUCAGGGGUGAAAUCCUGGAGCUCAACUCCAGAACUGCCUUUGAUACUGAAGAUCUUGAGUUCGGGAGAGGUGAGUGGAACUGCGAGUGUAGAGGUGAAAUUCGUAGAUAUUCGCAAGAACACCAGUGGCGAAAGCGGCUUCCUGGUCCAGCACCGACGUUCAGGCACGAAAGCGUGGGGAGCAAACAGG